rnacentral:rRNA from 1 species
AUGGCAGAUGCUGCUCUCCUUCUUGUCACAAAAAAAAUUGGAAAAGCGGUGGCAGCAGAAACACUGAGUUAUGCUAGACCAUUUCUUGAAAAGAAAUCUAGAUCUAUUAAAGCGCUCCCAGAUAAGAUGAUACUGAUAAAGAAUGAUCUUGAGCUUAUCCGAGCAUAUCUCAAGGAAGUUGACAGGAAAGGUUUCACAGAUCUAGUCACUGAAAUAUGGACAGGGCAAGCCCGAAAAUUGGCGUAUGAUAUGGAAGACAUUGUGGAUCAGUUUACUUAUGUGGUUGGUAAACACCAUCUAGAUGGAGCAUGGUGGAGUUUCUUCACUAAAUCUCAGGACCCGUUUACACUUGAUGAAAUUGCUACUGCAGUUAAGAGAAUAAAUAAGGAACUGAAACGGCUUAAAGAAUGCAGAGACUGGACUCAACCAGUUGGAGGGAGUGAUGUUCCUGCAAAAGAUUAUAACACCCAACAACAAAUGUAUCUUCCUGGACAUGGUUACUCAAUUUCUGAUGAAGAACUUAUAGGGCUGGAUAGAAAUAGAAAAAUCUUGAUGAGGUUAUUGAAUUUGAAUAACUGUUCUCAUCUGCAGAUUAUUGCUGUGUGUGGUAUGGGUGGCAUUGGAAAAAGCACUCUUGUCAACAAUGUGUUCAGAAAGGAAGCAUCCAAAUUUGAAUGCCAUGCGUGGGUUUCAGUCUCUCAGUCAUACAAUAUGUAUGAUAUUUGGAGAAGCAUGCUAAAAGAAAUAUAUUCUAAAGAGAAGAAAGAAUUUGAUGCUGAAAAGAUGACCGGUGCAGAGAUGCAAAUGGAAUUGAAGAAAAUCCUAGAGACAAAGCAAUACUUGAUCGUAUUGGAUGAUGUCUGGACAGCUGAAGUUUUUAGAGAACUCAAAGAGGUUCUUGUUGAUACAGGGAUGGGAAGCAGAGUAGUAAUCACAACAAGAAUUGAGCAAGUAGCUUCAGUUGCUGAUGAUAGCUACAAGAUCAAAGUUGAGCCUCUUGAGGAGGAGGAGGCAUGGUGUUUGUUUCGCCGGAAUGCAUUUCCGAGAACUAAAAAUCACAUCUGCCCAUUAGUGUUACAAGAGUGUGGUAAAUCGAUAGUGGAGAAGUGUGAUGGUUUACCAUUAGCUCUUGUGGCCAUAGGAAGCACAUUGUCUCAUAAAGCGCAAGAUGUUGCAGAGUGGAAGCGAUUUUAUAAUCAGCUUAUCUGGGAGCUACACAACAAUGGCGACCUAAAUCGUGUGGUGAAAAUUCUGAAUCUAAGCUACAAAUACUUGCCAGACCAUCUGAAGAGUUGUUUCAUGUAUUGUGCCAUGUUCCCAGAAGACCACAUGAUCCACAGAAAAAGAUUGAUUAGAAUGUGGGUUGCGGAAGGGUUUAUUGAACAAAGGGGAGCAUGCAGUUUAGAAGAUGUUGCUGAAGGUUACCUGAGAGAGCUCGUUCAACGAGGCAUGCUUCAGGUGGUAAAGAGGAACAGUUUUAACAGGAUCAAGUGUGUUCGAAUGCACGAUCUUGUGCGUGAAUUAGCCCUUUUCCAAUCCAAGAGAGAGAGUUUCGGAACAACUUAUGAUGAUAGUCACGGGGUGAUGCAUUUGGAGUCGGAUUCUCGUCGCAUGUCGGUGCUCCAAUGCAAAAAUGACAUUCAACCAAGCAUAGGUCAAUGCAGGCUUCGUACCUUCAUAGCAUUUAGCACCAGCAAGGCAUCAUCUUCACUGUUUCCGUCAGAAUCUAAGUACCUUGCUGUGUUAGAGCUAUCGGGUUUACCUAUUGAGACUAUUCCAAAUUCAAUUGGGGAGUUAUUCAACCUGAAGUAUUUGGGCCUCAACAAGACCAAUGUGAAGAUACUCCCAAGAUCUACCAUGAAUCUUCACAACUUAGAAACAUUGAGUCUUCAAGAUACAGACUGUGUGCAUCUCCCUCGAGGGUCUGAGAAGCUGAAGAAAUUGCGGCACAUUAUGAUGUAUAAAUUUCUGGAUAAAACACUCACAAGUUUCAAACUUAUUGAACCUAUGGAGCCGUUUGAUGGAUUGUGUAGUUUGAAGGUCUUGCAAACUCUGAGGUCAGUUCGAGCUAGUGAUGUUUUCAUCGCAAAGCUAUCAAAUUUAUGUCAGCUGAGGCUCCUUAGCAUUAAUGGGGUAAGGAGCAUCCACUGUGCACAACUUUGUGACUCUCUGUCAAAGAUGCACCAGCUUUCAACAUUAGAAAUAGUAGCAAGCAAUGAAGAUGAGGUGCUCCAGCUUGAAACUUUGACACUACCAAACCCUCUUCGAAAGCUCAUUUUUGCUGGGCGAUUUUCGGAAGGAACUUUGAAAUCUCCAUUUUUCUCAAACCAUGGAGACGCCCUUCACACGAUAUACCUAUACUGGUCCCAGCUCGUGGAUAACCCACUUCCACGCCUCUCUGAAUUUUUGAGUUUGACCCAAAUAAUGCUUACAAGGGCGUAUACUGGACAAGAGCUAAACUUCCAUCCAGGGUGGUUUCCGAAUGUGAAGAUUAUUUCCUUGAGGGAUUUGCCACACGUCAACAAAAUACACAUACAUGAGGGAACUUUGGUCCUCCUUGAAGAACUUGUGAUUAGAAACCUUGUUGAACUGCAGGACAUCCCUACAGGCGUGGAAUAUCUGAAAUCCCUCAAAGAUGCGUUGUUUCUUGACAUGCAUCCUAAUUUCAAAAGGAAUUUGCCAACGACAAAAUUAAAUCAUGUACAGAGAGCCCUCUACACUAUACGAUCCGAAGUGGCAUGA